rnacentral:lncRNA from 1 species
GCUGGUGCUAAAGUUGAUUAGCAUUUUAUGCUCCUAAAAGAGACUAGGGACUGUAUUACAUUAUUUAUGUACAAUGCUUCUCUUGUUGGUGGGAGUGUUUAAAUCGAUAGUGGUGGAAUUAUGUGUGUAAAGACAUAGUGGAUAUGGAGUUGGGUUUGGGAUGAAGUGUUUUCUUGCAUUUAACGAGGUUUUAACCUUUGUUUCUUGUACUUUACCGAGACUUAAACUUUGUACAUUGCUCACCUGUAAUGACAUUUCGUCUCUCUAUCUUCUUUGUGCGUGAGCAUUGAAUGCUCUCUCUCUCUCUCUCUCUCUCUCUCUCUCUCUCUCUCUGUGGGUAUGUGUAAGUGUAGGAUAAUUGAUCGUCUUUCAAGUUUAUGCACGUGUUGGAUAAUUUGUUAUGUACGAAGUAACUUUUUCGUACUCAUAACAAUUUGUCUUACGAAAUCUCAUUUUGGUAGCCCAUCAGGUCUCAUAUGACUUAUACAAUGUGUCCAUU